CACGUAGGGCGCAAGCGUUGUCCGGAAUUAUUGGGCGUAAAGAGCUCGUAGGCGGUCUGUUGCGUCCGCUGUGAAAACUCGGGGCUUAACCCCGAGCCUGCAGUGGAUACGGGCAGACUAGAGGUAGGUAGGGGAGAAUGGAAUUCCUGGUGUAGCGGUGAAAUGCGCAGAUAUCAGGAGGAAUACCGAUGGCGAAGGCAGGUCUCUGGGCCAUAACUGACGCUGAGAAGCGAAAGCAUGGGGAGCGAACAGG
rnacentral:rRNA from 1 species